GGGCUGGUUUGUCUCAGCCGGCUGCGAAGUUUACAAAAAAAGGGCUAAAUUUUAAGGACCACCCUCUCUGGGAUAUGUGGGAGAGACAAUGGGUCCAGUGAGCCAGUCCAAACAGCUGGCCUGCCUGAGCGACAGAAAAAGGUUGAUCUUGGGGCCAGAGCAGGGCAGGAAUGCCAAGCAUGGGUUUAAGCUGUAAGGUAAGAUCUAUGUCAGAAGCCUCAUCGUGUGUAAAACUAAAUCUCUGGGCCGAGUUGAGCAGGUCUUGAGUAGGAACUGACACAAUCUAACAUGAACACAUCCAGCGUGGUCCACAGGAGCCAGCCUGACAUGUGACUGACUGCGACACCUGAAGGUGAAAGGUCAAUACAGAUUUCAGCAAAUCUGAGCAGGCACAGCAUGAGCUUAUAUUCAGGGAGGGAAGGGGGCAUGGCUUGGCCUCCAACCCUUACCCGCUAAGACCCUUGAAGUUUUUUACCAUGACCUAGACUUGACUCCUUCAUCUGGGAUGUUAGCUAUACUAAUUACUGCCUGAUA